AAAGUGUUAACUAAAACCAUUGAAACAACAUACCUGCCAUUUAAACUUGAAUCUAGAAAUAAUAACUCCAUGAGUGUUUUGCACCUCCAGAUGGAAUGGCCUUUAAUAAAUGCUGUGAGUAGCCAUGAUUGCCACUUGCAGUUUGCUAUUCUAUUAAUCCUUAUGCAGAAUCUAACAAGUUUUCUCCUUUCUUCUCUUAUUUCUCAUGGAUUAUUAAAAAACUGAACACCAUGUAGAUGAUGAACCAGCUGGACCAAUGAAAACCAACUCUACCAACAAUCACAAAGAUAAAAACUUGCGCCAGAGAAACACAAAUUAAGUACUGCUUACAAUAUCUUUAGGUUCCUGAAACUGGUGGCAACAUGACCUGCUAAAUUUUCUGCUUGGACCUCUUUGGUUCUCUCCCCUUUCAAGUGAGCAACACCACAAUGACUGUCUAAAGCAUGC
rnacentral:sRNA from 1 species